GAUGAACGCUGGCGGCGUGCCUAAUACAUGCAAGUCGAGCGAACGGACGAGAAGCUUGCUUCUCUGAUGUUAGCGGCGGACGGGUGAGUAACACGUGGAUAACCUACCUAUAAGACUGGGAUAACUUCGGGAAACCGGAGCUAAUACCGGAUAAUAUUUUGAACCGCAUGGUUCAAAAGUGAAAGACGGCCUUACUGUCACUUAUAGAUGGAUCCGCGCUGCAUUAGCUAGUUGGUAAGGUAACGGCUUACCAAGGCAACGAUGCAUAGCCGACCUGAGAGGGUGAUCGGCCACACUGGAACUGAGACACGGUCCAGACUCCUACGGGAGGCAGCAGUAGGGAAUCUUCCGCAAAGGGCGAAAGCCUGACGGAGCAACGCCGCGUGAGUGAUGAAGGUCUUCGGAUCGUAAAACUCUGUUAUUAGGGAAGAACAUAUGUGUAAGUAACUGUGCACAUCUUGACGGUACCUAAUCAGAAAGCCACGGCUAACUACGUG
rnacentral:rRNA from 1 species